GCACACUCGUAAUCUACCCUGUAGAUCCGGGCUUUUGUUGUUUUACCUCAUAAUCAGAAGCUCGUCUCUACAGGUAUCUUACGGGUGUA
rnacentral:pre_miRNA from 1 species